CCGGGCCUUCAGACAACAGUGUGGCCGGAAUGUCCGUGCACCGCGCGCGCAGCUCAGGUCUCCAGGGCCGCCCUGCCCGGGCUCCUCCAUCCCGUAGACCAAUCCUUCCCACCACCUGCAAGGUCAGUCCCACCACCUGCAAGGUCAACGAAUCACUCCAGCAUCCCGCAGGGGCAGGAAGAGCUGUGAUGAGGGCCCCUCCUUGGGGUCGGUCGGCACAUGGCCAAGGGCGGGGGGUCAGAGAGUGGGAUGGUCCUCGUGGCUCUGGAUGGGGCUGUACCUGCCGGAGAGCCUUGAUGACGAGGGGCCGGGAGGGCACGUGCAGAGGGCAGCUGGCGAGGCAGCCCCAGACCUGGGACGGCUAGAUGGUCGCCGCGGGAGGUGGCUCUGCUGAAGGCUGCCGGAUGUGGGGGCCAGCUGCACCUCCCUUUCCGUCUUCUCUCUCGCGUCGUCUGGUUCCCGGGGCCUUCCUUGCUCCCCCACCCACGGGGCGUGCUUACGUUUUACAGGCUGUGUACACGGGUACUGGGCGCGGACGAGCGCUCCGACCCGGGCCAUAGGCCCCAGGCCAGCUGCUCCAGGUGCCGGCCGAGACCUCCUGCUCCUGAGACACAGGCUGCCUCUGUUGAGCCCGCCCUGCUUCCCGCCGUGGGCCUGGACAGCCCAGGGUGAGGGACGCCGGUUGGCCAGGACAGGGCACGGCGUGGCACCAGCAGCCUGGAGGGGCAGGAGCAGGGCCGGGUUACGCUGGGGAGGACCACGUGAGCCUGCCAGGCCAGCCUCACCCUGCGCGCCCCUACGUGCUGUCACCCACGCGUGGGACAGCCACCGGUCGCGUGGGAGCAGCAGGGGGACUGGGUGGGGUCAUCGCAGGGAGCUCCGGGGGUGAGGGUGUGGGGCUGACAGAGUCCUCCGUUUGUGCCCCUUGUCCCAGCCCCUGGGAUGGGACCGGCCCUUCCUGACUCGGGGAGCUGGCCCGACCACAAGCAUGACAGGAAGGAAGGCAGGAAGGAAGGCAGGAGUGAAGCAGGUGUUUAUGCGCUCGUGGGAAGGGAAAUGGUCCUGAGCCAGUGGUGUGUGACAGUCACUGGGUUUGCCCUUUUGGUGGCACCAAGUGAGGAGCUGGGAAGAAAGGGACCAUUUAGAGUCAGCUGGGGGGGGGGCGUGUGGGCCCCCCCACAUUUCCUCUUCUUGAGGAGAGACCUGAGUCCUGGAGGGCACUGCUUCUCGGGGUCCCACUGCCCCCCGCCUCUCGCCCCUGGCCAGGAGGAGUCCCGGCAUGUGGGGCUCUGAUGGCCCAGAAGAGGACAGACCUCGGACUCAGGGCCGCGGACCGCUGGCCUGCACUUCCUCCGGAGAGAUGGAAGCUCCCCGGCUACCGGGGAGCAACGGGGGUCUUUUUCUGUUGGGUCUCGUGAUGACUUUUGGCAACCCCCAAAAGCGAGUUUCCAAGUAGACUGAACAAUUAGUCACUUCCAUUCACGUGUGCCUGCUCAGAAUGUCACCACCAGCUGUGUCCCCCGAUAAGGGCUGAGUCCUGCUGGCAGUCAGAGACCACUGGGCGGGGAUGGCUGGGCUGUGGCACCCUGGCCUACUGGGACCCUGGGAGGUGUCACGAUGCCCCGGGGAGAGCAGAGGGUGCUAGGGACCCCUGGGCAGAGCAGAGGGCGCUAGGGACCCCUGGGCAGCAGCCUGGUGGAGGAAGUGGGCACCAGAGGGCGCGGCUGACGGAGAGGGUGUGACACGGGCCAGGCAGGGGCUUAGCGAGGCUGGGCUCUCUGCAGCGGCAGUCGGGGUCUCCAAUGGACAGCAGCUCGGCUGGUGGACUCUGAGUGGCUGUGCAGAACCAUGGAGACAGGAAGGGAGCUGCCCUCUGACCUUUGCUGCCUUGAGGAUGCACCCACUUACAAUGGCUCCCCGCCUCUUGAUGGCGACACUUGGGGAAGUCGCUUUGAGUCUCUCACGUCAGCUCAAUAAGCUGUUUGUUCUCUUGUCCUACAAAGAACCUGGGCCCAAGACCACCCCCGGGGAUUGCUCUAGUAUGGAGUGUCUGAAACGCAGCCUCGGUCUGGCUCUGCGGCACGCUCAGUGGGAUUCUGGAAGCUUCCCCCCCACCAGCCUAGGCCUGGUUCCCAAUCCAGAGCAGCUGGGCUCUGAGUCUCAGCUACAGGGCGCCCUUGCUCCCCACGCCUGGCAGGCUGCCCCUCGGGGCCGGAGCCGGGUGGAGUUCGCAGGACACAGAAAACAUGGGUGCCAUUAUUCUGCAAAGGCGGUCCUCGCCGCGCCCACCCCCGCCUCUCCCCAAACCCCUGCUGGGGGCAGUGGACUUCAAGGAGAAGCUCCUUGGCAGAGUGCUCCGCUCAGCAAGCCCUUUGAUCAGCCAGAGGUCUGGGCAUGCCUGUCGUAGCCGAGGCCGGGGGCGGGGCAGCCGUGCGAGGCUCGGUCACCCCCUCGGGGCCGCGGGCCGCAGCUGCAGGAGAUGCUGCUGGGGGCGCUUUCCCAGGUCUGAGCCCACACCCAGCUGGAGGACGGGGCCCACACACUCAGCUCUGGCCUGGGGCCGGGAGUGGUUUUCCCUGGGCUGCCUUGCUCUCUCUGGCUCCUUGGCCCGGCUCCUGGAGGAAGGGGAGGCCCAGACACAGAGCACCAGGCGCAGGCUGACAUGUCGGGACCGAGCGCUCCCGGGGCCCGGUGCGCGGAAACGCGUGCGCGGCCCCCUUGGGCGCCGGAGCCCCGCGAGCUCGGUGCGUUCCUGCUCGGCUGCCUGCUCUCCCUCUCGUGGCUUCGGCCUGCCCCCCUCCCUGCCCCCCUGCCCUCCUGGGCUUCUCAGUCUUUUCCCUCUCCAGCCUGUGUGGCCAGGCCGGCUGCUCCGACGCCAACUUCAGUCAAAAGCCGCAGCGACUUGGCCCGCGGAGCAGACGGAGCAGGAGGGCCCUUAGCCGCUGUGCGUCCGGGCCCGGCCCACUCCCUGCCCCCCCCGGCUGAACUGACCGGUCCAGUAAACUAACCCAACCUCUUCCCCCUCCCAGGACGUCGCCGGCCCACCCCCAGAACCUUCCUCUAAUCUUCGGGCAAGCCUGAGAGGUUGCUUCCAGUUCAAGAGGCUCGGAGCUGAGGGCCUUGUGUGCACGCAGAUGUGACUCCUGAGACCUCCCGGGGAAGUCACUCUGCUGGGUGAGGCCUUCCCCUGUCCCUCUGUCACCCUUCCCAAGGUGUGGACCAGCCUGUCCCCAGGGCGUGCUCAGUGCCCGAGACACAGAGCGGUUUCCGGGGCGCAGAUGAGCUCAAGGUGCCCGGUGCAGGACUUACUUCUGGAUGAGCUGGUUGACGACAGGUGCUGCCCACGCACUGGGCCCUGUCCCCCCGGCACCGUGGUGACCAGGGGUCCACCACGAGGCUGGAAACCUGGUUUCCACUUGUCGUUUUAAAGAAGAAACAGAUCCUGCCUUGGUUGGCAGCUCCUGAGCAGGGGCGGGGGUCUGUGCACCCGGCCCAGGAGGCUCCAGGCCCGUCUUGGGUCAGGGUCCGGGGUCCGGUGCGGACACGUGGUACUCAGACCCGCCCGGACUGUGUGAG
rnacentral:lncRNA from 1 species